GUAUGACUGACUUCUUUGUGUUCACUCGUAGCUAGGGAGACAUGGUUUUCGGUAUCCUUGUUCUUCUAUCUUUUUGUCUUUGUAUCAAGUCAUAGACAUGGUUUUCGCUUUUUUUUUUUUUGGAAGUCGGCAAUUAAAAUUUGGCCCUCGUUUCCAACCUCCCAGCCCAGGCCUGUGUAGAAAACAUACCUCCACAGGUCUUCCAUGGCUUCCCAGUCAUGGAUAGCUCCUCUCUCGAUGGGAUUCACGGCAUUCUCCUUCCAAUCGUCUCCAUUCAAGUCGAUCUUGUCGAUGUCGCCCUCGUCCGCCUUGGUCAUUGCCGUUUGCAUCACCUACAGGCGGAGCGCAAGCAUCUAAACCCAAUGUCGAUGGAUUCCUAGAGUGAUUACCAGCUGAGGAUCUUGCUCGGGGAUCGCGAAGCCGGCCUUGAGCAGCCUGGAGCCGGCGUCGAUCACUAUCGCCUCUGCUGCCAUAGCGGACAAGAACCCUAAAAUCUCUCGGUUUGCUUUAUAUCUCGCGUUCGAUUCUCCUGGCUAACAAAAAGCUAACGAAACUUCGUCGUUAGGCGGCCAUAACUAGAACUUUGAUGGUUCCCUGGCUAUUGGCGGCUAACAAAGUUGGACUGUCGCUCUUCCAACACACGGCGCUGAUGAAAUGCAAUGAGUCGUCUAAGCUUCCAAAUCGGUGUCGAGUUGCUGGUCUAGAAAUCGCCUGAAAAAAAAAGAGAAAAGUAUAAGAAACACUUCCGAAGAUGAGAAGAAAAAUUCGCAUUUUUACCUUGUGAUACACGAACACUUCGUUGGUUUCACUUCCACAGGUUACGUAGUCACUGUUACCGCUCAAACCAACGAAGUUCCUCUCGUUUAUAUGCCCAGUUAGCGUUCUAAUCUGCAUAGAAGCUAGAAGUUUAAAACAAGAGCUUCAAAACAAGAGCGAGCUUACCGGAGUGUUAGUUCUGACAUUCCAGAUCCGCAAGGUGCUAUCAGUCGAUGCGGACACGAGCUCCUCCGGCGUGAUGAACUUCACGUACGAGACGGUCUUUUGGUGGCCGCUAAAGGUGUGGACUGGCGAAGCAGGAGAGCGCAAAUCGUAGUAAUGUAUGCGGUGAUCGGCCGAUCCAACCUGCAAAUGCUUGGAAAUGAAUAAAACACCACUGUACCAAACCGAUAACUCACAAGAGAUAGAAAAAGAGUACCGCUACAAAAUUGCUGGAGCUGGGAUUGAACUUGACGCAGCAGAUGUUGGCUUUCAUGUCGAUUCCCAUGACGCUGCUCUCCUGUCGAGUAGACCACACUUUGAGCUGCAAGUUUUUCUCAAAGUUAGAUGGAAACAAAGAAUUUUCAAAAAGAUACGUUCUAACCUUGCCAUCGUCACUGCCAGAAACAAGUAAAUUGGGAUCGGUUCUAGCAAAAUCGACACUCCACGCUCGCUUGGCAUGCUCUUCGUACUCCAUGAUACUCUGAAAUCAAGAUAGGAACGGAAGCUCUCGCCCGUCUCACUAGGAUCUUGUGAUUGCUUUCGCUUUUGCAAAUAACAAUCUUGCAGGUCUUCAAAAUGUGCACCACACACAGAGGAAGUUGGCCGACUGUUACAAUCAAGAAAUCCAAGGAGCAUACCUGAGAAAGCACUCGCCUCUUUUUCGAAAGAACCUCACUUUCUCUCACUCCAGACGUUCCCUCGUCAUCAGUUUGCGCUCGCUUAAGACGAGCUUUUUCUCCAUCCGGGGAGCUCCCUUCCGCUUCGGACGCCUUGACACGACAGCGAGAGCUAGGAAGCUUUUGGUGAACAGGCGACGCAUGACGUUCUUUGGAUUUCUUCAAACUAGUCGCCUGCUUUUCAACAGCAGCAAUGUCUUCCUUGAGCCAUUGCAGGUCUGUUUGUAUCUGAACGAAGAAAACGUCGUGAGUAAGAUCACAGGUCCGGAGUUCUCACCUCGUUUAACUCUUGCUGCUUCUGUUGCCUCGACCGCUGCAAGAAAUCAUGCAAGACCUCCAAAUUUGUUUCAGUCAACAAACUCAAAAGUGUAUCGAUGUCUUUCAUCGAGAUGUCUGCUCCCUGAGAAUCACAAACAAAACAUCAGCACUAUAACUAAAAACCAAACUUUUCGACAAAAAAGACCUGUUUGAGAGCAAGCCGCAGGUGCUCUCCCGGUGACGUAGAGCUGGCAACUUGGCACACACUCGCCUUCCUCAAAUCUCCAACAGAGGAAACCAUGGAACAUCAAACUUCCGAGCAAGAUGGCAAAACAAAUCGAAGGUACCUUGUUGAGAAGGAAAUUCGGGUAGAGCUGGCCGCUGGUCAAGUAAGCUCCACAGCAGGGACAGUUGCUCUUGAUGUUUAGAUGCGUCAUGAUGCACAGCUGUGGCCGCAGCUCGUCAAAAACGCGUCUUUGAUCGUCUGGAUGCAUAUCGGGCACAGGAAAUCCCUGUCGAGCUCGAGAUUGUAGCUGGAGGCCUCGGUUCUCGUCCCACACACGGAUGGAACUUGGGCAGCGUCAGAGGAGCGAGCUUGCAUCUCCGUGAGCCUCUAUCAUUCUCUCGCCUUAAUAGGACGAACUUACAAGACCCCGCGCUUCUUCUUUUCUGCCUUCUUCGUCUUCUCGCCCGUCCCGCUCUAGGGAUUAUUGUUGUGUGAGAGAGCGAGGAAUGUCGGGCAUAUUCUAAGGGUGAUUACGUGGCCGGCCGUGAUUGGAGGACAUCUCAGGUCGGUAAGAAGCCACGAUAAGGGCCAUCCCGCCGUCCAGGCCCACGUGGUGUCUACCAGCUUCAACUUCGUCAAACCAACCAAGAGUCAAGUCAAUGCGUAGAGAUGAUGGUGUGAAAUGUGCUCCGGAAUAUGCUCUCUAGCUUUUGACGAUCGUCUCGGCCUCGGCGGAUGGCUCCAUAGCUCUCAUGGACCUGAGGCACGUCAUGAGGAAAGGAAGCAUCAAGUCGAGAGCAGCGGCCACGGUGAAGCGCCCCUACAAAAUGAAAGGAGACACUGCGCAAAGGAUGCUGUCCAGCGGUGGCUCUUGCGCUUACUCAGUGGACUUGGCUCGGACAGGAUUGUGAGUGCCGGGGAGGGGACGGCGAUCAAGGUCUGGGACUUCUCCCAGGCUCUCGAGUUUGAGAAGAAAACACAGGCGCUUCGAAGCGUCCGGAGAGAGCAGAGAGCUCAGCGGAAGCUCGCGAUUAAGAACAGGAGAAAGGAAUGACUGCCAGGAACUUCGGUUCAGGGAUAAAGGGGAUCGACUACACAAAGUUGGUAACGCUCGAUAUCGAUCUCAACUCACCGACAUUAUUUCAAAACAAAAUGGUCUUGAAGAUCAUGCUUCUGGAGAUUAGUCUCCAGUAAAAAACCUCAAUUAUUUCCAAAUAUCUAACACGAAGAUCAUGCCAAAAAACCAAAGUUUUCAAUAUCUUAAAAGUAUCAAAGAAAGAUCAAUCACGAAGAACCACGGAAAGAAGGUUGCGAACCUGUCGCAUCGUUGGCCUGUUUCCCGGAUUGCUAUCUAUGCAUCGCAGCGCCGUGACAAGCACUCUGGUGGCCUCCUCCGCGUUGAAAACUCCCUACAGCCUUGGAUCCACGACACCCAAGAGCUUCCCGGCCGCGUACUGCUCCUCCACCCAUGGCACCAGCAGCCAUGCGUUGUGAUCCUUCUCCUUGGAGCUCCCAAUCACCCGCCUCCCAGUCACAACCUCGAGCGUCACCACGCCAUAGCUGUAGACAUCCGACGCGGGCGUGAACUUGUAUGUGACCCCGACCUCGGGCGCGAUGUAUCCCAGCGUCCCCGCGAGCGUGGUGGUGCGUGAGCUCACGUCAUGGCUGGCUGUGCGCGCGAGGCCAACGUCGCCCAGCCUCGCGCGAAACUCUUCGUCCAGCAUCACGUUGCUGCAUUUCACGUCGCGGUGGAUGACCUGCUGCUCCCAGUCCUCGUGGAGGUAGAUGAGUGCGGCGGCGNNNNNNNNNNNNNNNNNNNNNNNNNNNNNNNNNNNNNNNNNNNNNNNNNNNNNNNNNNNNNNNNNNNNNNNNNNNNNNNNNNNNNNNNNNNNNNNNNNNNGUCGUAGACGAGGACGAGCUCGCGGUGGUCGCGCGCGCAGUGCCAGCCGCGGAGAGGGACAAGGUUACGGUGGCUGCGCUUGCUGAUGAUCUGGAGCUCCGCCAGGAACUCGCGCUCGCCCUGGUGCGAGUCCCGCACCAUCUUCUUGAUGGCCACCGGGGAGUUCUCGCCGGGGAGGAUGCCACGGUAGACCUUGCCGAAGCCGCCUGUGCCCAGGAGGUUGUGCUCGGGUGCCGGAGGUGAGCUGCGCUUAGGGAAUCUCGUGUGGCAGCGGCACAAGGUCCUUGGACGAGCUCUUCUUCUUCUUCUUCUCGGAUGGGAAGCCAAGUUUGCUCCAGGGAUUUUUGACAAGCCAGCUGACGACCGCGAGGAGCAGCAACGCGGCCAGGAACGCCAGGAGUGAUGCAGUGACGAUGAAGUAAACCUUGAAUCGAUCUUUCUACUUUCCACCAUCGACCACUGUCACUGGUGAUGGAGGAGGAAUCCUCUCCAAUCUGCUCGAGAAGUUCCAGGACAGGAUCCGGUGGAAGUCGAGGUUGGCGGUGCCAGAGCCGGCAGAGAAGCCCACGUACGAGACAUCGCUGACAUAGGCGCACAAAUUCACGCUGUGCUCCAGCACCGGGUCGCCCAAGUUCCGGAACGAUGGGUCGGAGGAGACGAACACUCGCAGCCUCUGCACGGCGGCAUCGUAAUCGAUUCUCGCCGCGACGGUACCGAUGCCAAGAGAGAUCCUCCGCGGAUAGAGCGAGCUCGAGUUCACGGACAGGAUCCCGUUGAUGUCGAGGCCGACGUGGUUGUCAUCGAUGUCCUGGAACUCGGGAUAGACUGGUGGAAAGUUCAUGAAAGUGUCGAAUUCCACCGCGACGAUGCGGUUGCUCGCGCGGCCAUUCGCGGCGGGAUCGAACAAGCCCAGCCAGCGGCCAUAGCCAGCGGAGGAGGUGGGGACGAGGUUAGGGGCGAUAGUGAACGCGAGGCCAUCGGCAUUGACCAGUGUGGAGUCGUUCUUGGUGAUGGCGAAGACGAACUCGGUGGAGAAGGAGGCGCCGGCGCCGGCGGAUGCGUUGCAAAGCUGGAUCUCCUGCUGCUUCAUGAUCCUGCCAUAGCUCGACAGGCGAUUGCCGGUGAGCCGGAGCUCGUCAUUGUUGAAGGUCGCGUCACCAGUGGCCACAAAAUCGUUGCGUGCCUGGGGCGAGAAGUUGCUGUAUGUGAAACUUACGUGAUCAUCAAGCGCUGCUGUUGCGCCUAGUGCCACGAUCGAAAGCACGAUCGCCAGAGCUUUGGCCAUUGGACCAACCAACGCUAGAAGAGCAAACUCGUGCGUGGUCGACACGGCUAGACCGAUCAUUUUAACCAGUGAGGCAGCGAGAGCUGUUGAAGCAUGAUUUAAUACUUUGAAGGAGGUCCGGGUUCAAUCCUCGGCCUGUUCAAGUCCAUUUUCCAUCGUCUCUUUUGUUAUCGGUACCUUGACAGGAUAGUUCCCGGAACUCGAGCCUUUUUUAAUUAGUGAGCAAUCUGUUAGUAACACUUUCGGUGGACGAUGUUUGGCCCAUACUCAUCGUAGUCUCCCUUGGUGAGAUGCUGGUUUUGAGGGAACACCACCUUGGCGAGGAUGGCGCCGCCAAUCCAUGCCGAGUAUUGCAGCGUCCGCUCUGGCAUGUACUCCGGAGGCUGCGAAAGCGGAGAGAAUGAGAAAGACGAAAGCCAGAAAAGUUUCACUGCUUCUUCUUUACCUUCACUACGGAGGGCCGCAAGGAGGGAGUUCCGUGAAGAGACACCUCCUUCUGAAAGCGAGCUUCAAAACCUGGGAAGUGCUUGGAAGGUGAGCUAGGAAAAAACGAGGAUGGAUUCUUGCCUUUCAUCGUUGAAGUGCCUCCACACAGCACAAUGUUCUCGAUCAGAGGCUUCUGGCAUUCGGCAGGAGAGCAGAGCGAAAGGCUUCUCACAAGCUGCUCCGUGAUCCCGUAUUCCUGGAUUUCCACAAGUGAUGGCUGAUAGAGCACCUCACCAAGUGUGUAUCUUUCACUUCCAACAGAAAUGACCUGUCCCCACAAACACGAGCUAAGAAAACAUACACAGCAGCAAAAGCUUACCCGACCGUCAGGUAGCGUGUGUUCUAUGACAGAUCCCUCAGCCACCUUCUUCUCGUAAUCCACAGAAUCGUCCAGACUCACUGCUACUGCUUCUUUGAUCUGCUCCAGCGCAAAACCAUCCAGCUUCGUGUGAGGAUUGGACUUGGCCAGCUUAGUCCCGAGGAGCUCUGUCAAGUCCUGUCCAGCGUACUCGAACCGCUUGACGGCGUUGUGCUGGAUUCCACCCUCCCACACGGGCGCAAUAUCUGCAGCGAAAACAAGUCUUGUGCACCAUUCGUUACAUUGUUACACAACGUUACCAGAGCCACUGUGAAUGAGUACCUAUUUUCCCAUGUCCGACGUCCACUGCACAGCCAGAGAUGCGUCCCACAGCAUACACGGACAGCACUGGUUGCUCCACGGCAUAGAAGCCAUUCACAUUGAAAGUUUCAAACAUAAGUUGGACGGUCUUCUCCCUUGCAAUCUGUCACAGAAAAUCAAGCAUGAGUUUCAAACAGUUCACAGAUGCCAUGACGAUGACAAGGAGUCCAAAAAAAAAGCGAAAACCAUGUCCAUGACUUGAUACAAAGAAGAAGUCAUGCAAAAAGAUAGAAGAACAAGGAUACCGAAAACCAUGUCUCCCUAGCUACGAGUGAACACAAAGAAGUCAGUCAUACAAAAUGAAAGAAAGAAGAACGAAGGAAACAAAGAAAGGACAAAAGAAAGAGGCUUGCCUUUCGUGUGAGCAGUGAGUCGGCAAUUAAAAUUUGGCCCUCGUUUCCAACCUCCCAGCCCAGGCCUGUGUAGAAAACAUACCUCCACAGGUCUUCCAUGGCUUCCCAGUCAUGGAUAGCUCCUCUCUCGAUGGGAUUCACGGCAUUCUCCUUCCAAUCG
rnacentral:lncRNA from 1 species